rnacentral:misc_RNA from 1 species
CUUCCCUACCAUAUGAUAGAAUUCGUACUGGAUGAUUUUGAAUGCAAGGUGAGAGUCAGUCUUAGAUAUGCAGACCUUGUAUCUGUACUUCCAACUCGAGUCAGAGUAUUUGCAUGGCCAAUGAAUCAAUUCAAGAAAAAUGGAGCACUUGGAAGUCACCCAAGCCCUGCUCGCCUAUCUUAUGCUGAGGAUGCCUUAAGAACCAUGAGUUUACCAGAAGCUUAUGCAGAAAUUGUAUUGAAUUUGCCUCGAGCCAUUCAGCAAAUAUCUAUUGAAACGAGCCCCACUUAAUACUUUAAUAGUAUUUUUGGCGCAAAACUCCAGUGUACAAAGCUAUAUGGCAUGUAGUAACUCAAAAACUGUUGCUUAGCAUACUGGAUCCUCCUGGUUAAUCAUGAUUUGACUUACUGGUGAGUUGUGAAUUGGUGCCAUACAAGUGGAAACAAACUUGGUUUCACCAGUUUGUAUAGCAGUAUGAUUAAUUUUUAUGCAAGCAUUUAGCCAACUAUCAAACUGGGGUAUUGAACAUUUUGCCAUUACCCUAUCCAUGAGGAAGUUGGGACAUAAAAUCGUUUCGUUGUGGCUUUACAUUUGUAUCUUUCAUAUACUCACUGCUUGAAGACAUUGUUACUGUAGAUAAUGUUCAUUCUGGUUUUAGUUAACCUGAUAAUUAUUUU